UUACUAAUAUUUCAUAUAUUCUUUGUAGAAGAAGAGAAAAAGAAAAAUCAAUUAUAGAAGAACUUGAACGCAAACCUUUUGGUUCACAAUCAUUACAUUCUUCAUCAGACAGACAGACUACUCCAACAAAUGAUUUAGAAUCGGGAUCUCAGCCAGGAACGUCAACAGAAACUCCUCUGCGAUCUCUACCCAUAUUAACUAUGAUCAGUCAAGGAAGGAAUCAAUAGAGGCUUUUUGUCUUUGUAAUUUAGUGAUGGAAACUUGUAUGCAUGUCGAGUUCAUGCAGAUUAAUAAAGGAGGUUAGAGAGUUACAACUGAGGAAACCUGUACAUAAAAUAGACAGUUGUGAGAGAAUUUUUUGAUGUGAGAAAUAAAAGGCCACAAUGGUAACAUGGACUGUAUACCAGCCAAAAAUCCAUUACAUUGUGCCUGUAACUUCCAUUGUUUCCAUUAUUGUGGUAGGAAAUAACUGUUGCACAGAAUCCUGCCCAUAUAAAAGGGAGAUGUCUUUCUUCCACAUGUCCAAAUAUCAGAGUAAUGAAGCUGCCAGGCUGUCGACAUCCAGUUUUUUCUUGGACCGAUUAUUCUCAGGUCAUGCUGUUUCUGCUUCUAUUAUAUGUACAUCCUGUUAGCAUUUUUUUUUCUAUUUUAUUGUGCUAACAACAUAUAUGUCAUAAGUUUACAUGUUUUAAUUAAUUGUGUUCAUAUAAAUUUAGUCAAGAUUUUUCAUUAACAAAAGUAAUGAGAGAAGAGAACGAUUUCCAGUCUAUAAUAUAUGUUGAAUAACAGUCAGUGAAGAAUCUUGUCUAAUGAAAAAACAACUAACAAUCAAUUAAUGAUUCAGUAUAUAAUUGCUAUCCUUUUUUUUUCUUUUGGUCAGUUGUUUAAAUUCUUUCAUCAAAUAAUAUCCUUUAUUAUGCUUUUUAUUGUGAACAUGAUGUAAUUGCAAUUUGAAAUGUUUAAUGUUAUCCAAGAAUAACCUAUUUUUUAUUUAGGUUGAAAUUCUUGUUAUCCCCAGAAUAAUUUAUUGUGUUUUUUUAAUAGUCGAGAUUUGAAACUUUUUGAGAACUUGUGUAACAUUCCGUGUAAUUGAAACCUCAUUGUUGACGGGCACACAUAUUUUUAAACA